rnacentral:rRNA from 1 species
AGCAGCCGCGGUAAUUCCAGCUCCAAUAGCGUAUAUUAAAGUUGUUGCAGUUAAAAAGCUCGUAGUUGAAUUUCGGGAUUUGCACAUCGGUCGUGCCUUAAGGGGUAUGAACUGGUGUAGUGAAUUUCUCACCUUCUGGAGAACCGCGAUGUCCUUAAUUGGGUGCCGCGAGGAACCAGGACCUUUACUUUGAAAAAUUAGAGUGUUUAAAGCAGGCAUUUUUGCUUGAAUACAUUAGCAUGGAAUAAUAAAAUAGGACGGCAUGAUUCUAUUUUGUUGGUUUCUAGGAUCACCGUAAUGAUUAAUAGGGAUAGUUGGGGGCAUUAGUAUUCAAUUGUCAGAGGUGAAAUUCUUGGAUUUAUUGAAGACUAACUACUGCGAAAGCAUUUGCCAAGGAUGUUUUCAUUAAUCAAGAACGAAAGUUAGGGGAUCGAAGACGAUCGGAUACCGUCGUAGUCUUAACCAUAAACUAUGCCGACUAGGAAUCAGACGAUGUUAAUUUUUUAAUGACUCGUUUGGC